rnacentral:rRNA from 1 species
GACGAACGCUGGCGGCGUGCUUAACACAUGCAAGUCGAACGGAAAGGCCCUGCUUUCGUGGGGUGCUCGAGUGGCGAACGGGUGAGUAACACGUGAGUAACCUGCCCUUGAUUUUGGGAUAACUUCAGGAAAGUGGGGCUAAUACCGGAUAGGAGCUCCUGCUGCAUGGAGGGGGUUGGAAAGUUUCGGCGGUUGUGGAUGGACUCGCGGCUUAUCAGCUUGUUGGUGGGGUAGUGGCUUACCAAGGCAUUGACGGGUCGCCGGCCUGGGAGGGUGACCGGCCACAUUGCGACUGAGAUACGGCCCAGACUCCUACGUUAGGCAACAGUCGCGAAUAUUGCACAGUGAGCGGAAGCCUGAUGCGGCAACGCCGCGUUCGUAAUGACGGCCUUCUGGGUGAGAACCGCUUUCGCCUGUUACGAAGCGGUAGUGACGGUAAUGAGUAAAGAAGCACCGGCUAACUACGUG